rnacentral:rRNA from 1 species
UCGGGAAUUUUGGGCAAUGGGGGAAACCCUGACCCAGCAACGCCGCGUGAAGGAUGAAGUAUUUCGGUAUGUAAACUUCGAAAGAAUAGGAAGAAUAAAUGACGGUACUAUUUAUAAGGUCCGGCUAACUACGUGCCAGCAGCCGCGGUAAUACGUAGGGACCAAGCGUUGUUCGGAUUUACUGGGCGUAAAGGGUGCGUAGGCGGCAUGACAAGUCACUUGUGAAAUCUCUGGGCUUAACCCAGAACGGCCAAGUGAUACUGUCGCGCUAGAGUGCAGAAGGGGCAAUCGGAAUUCUUGGUGUAGCGGUGAAAUGCGUAGAUAUCAAGAGGAACACCUGAGGUGAAGACGGGUUGCUGGGCUGACACUGACGCUGAGGCGCGAAAGCCAGGGGAGCAAACGGGAUUAGAUACCCCUGUAGUCCCUGAG